GAUGAAGAACGCAGCAAAAUGUGAUACUUGGUGUGAAUUGCAGAAUCCCGUGAACCAUCGAGUUUUUGAACGCAAGUUGCGCCCGAAGCCUUUUGGCCGAGGGCACGUCUGCCUGGGCGUCACGCAUCGCGUCGCCCCCCACAAUUCUCCGUAAAAGGAACAUGUGUUUUGGGGGCGGAUAUUGGUCUCCCGUGCUCAUGGCGUGGUUGGCCGAAAUAGGAGUCCUUUCGAUGGACGCACGAACUAGUGGUGGUCGUAAAAACCCUCGUCUUUUGUUUCGUGCUGUUGCUCGCAAGGUAAACUCUUUAAAAACCCCAAUGUGUCGUCUCUUGACGACGCUUCGACCGCGACCCCAGGUCAGGCGGGACUACCCGCUGAGUUUAAGCAUAUCAAUAAGCGGAGGA
rnacentral:misc_RNA from 1 species